CAUUUAUUCAGACAAGUUUAUCGAUCUAUACAUACAAUACAUGCUUAUUUAUCGUAAUAUUACGCCUUACAUUGGAGUUUGAAGCCAUUAGAUCUAACGCAGUUCACCAAACGGUCGAACAAAGAUAAAAGAUGGAAUAAUCGUAUUAUCACCCUGUAUAUAACACCUUUGAUUGUAUUUCUACCCUAGAAAAACCAAAAAGCAUCCCAGCUUCAACGCGUACCCAACUCCCAGCCUCCCCGAUUCGGAAUCGAAGCUCCACCCGCGUCCAAUCGUCUCUCGCGUCGCGGAACGAAAUGGGGAAUCCCUCAUUCGACGAGGAUUCUCUUCAGUUUGGUGGGAAAUUGAACAACAAACACACGCCGCCGAGCGAAACUAGUUCUUACCGAGACGUUGCGUAAACACAAUCGAUCGACAAUGAGCGUUAACUCGAACCGCGAGCUAGGCACGGAUCCGACACGAGGAAUAACACGGGACAGACAACGACAAACCAGUCGGCAGGUAGUUGCCCGACUGGGUACCGGAUCCAGGCGAUAUUUUUCUGCACGUCCCCGCGGCGCUGCUUCUCGACCAGGCUCCGAAGGUGAAGGCGAUGGAAGCGGUCCCGCGCGUGUUUACGAGCUGGAAACGACUUGCCAAGCAUCCGCGAGAAAAGGGCGGACGAGGCCGCGACAGAGAUCCGGGAUUCCUGGAAAUUACCACCUUCGGGGCCUCUCUCCCGCCAUUGCUCGCCAACCAGAAUCGCGGCUUGCGCCAUGUCGUGGACCGGUUUAACAAGCUUCGAUUCGGAUAAGCGAAACGGCCGAUGCCUUUGAUCUUUUUUGGGUCUGAAUUUCGACGACCUUGACUUGCUUACGAGUGCGCUCGCCCACUCGCGGAACUCGAUCGAUCCCGAUCGACGCCUCCGCGGCGUCCAAUCCGGAUCCAUUUCGGCAACACUGGAUCCUGACGGGUUUCGGAUCGUUCGGGAAAGUGGUCUCUUCGAUCUUGAAUUUCGACGACCUUGAAUCGUUCCACCCUCGUCUGGCAGAUGCAGGAUCGCUUCGAACCGGCUGCGAUCAUUCUCGUGAAAGAAUACGGUCGAUCGAGAAGUUUUAAACGAAGCUCUAGACGCAGGGCUCCACCGAGCAACGAUUAUCGGGCAGACGACGAGAAAACGACAUAAACUCGGUGUACAGCGUCCCGGAGGCGACUCGUCGAUCCGCGGAGGACGUUGGAGCGUUGUAACGGCUGCGGUAAAUUUCACGGGCGCACCAGGAUACGCCGAUCCUGUUUGCGCGUUCCACGCACGCUUUGAGGAAAAUAUUCCCCUUCGUCGUGGCUCGCAAGACGACGUAACCUGUUGCUGGACUCUGAGAGGGAGUGCAGUUUACGUCCAUCCGCCUCGUAAAACGUAAUGGUUAAGUGGCAGCCAGAUACGAUCAGCGCGGGCUACAGAAUGGACAGGCAAACGAUGCACCGUAUAAAGGACCCGAAACGACCAGCUCUGAGCACGGCGUAUGAAAACUGCAUAGGCUGAAUCCGUUUUCCCGGUCUUGUCGCUGCGCCUAAUGACGCGGACGAAGAGGAAAGUGGCCCCGAACGACUGGCACCAGGUUCCCUGCGUCGCGGGGAAGAUCUAGAAACCUUCCUCCUUCGAAAGCUAGCAGGUCGGCCUGCCGAAGGUGCAACAAAAAGGAGAGUCCUUGGAGGGAAAGGUGGGAUAGAAGAAAGAAACGAAAGAAAGAACAACCGUCGACGGUGAUCGCGCGGAUUUGCGGGCGCAAACAUUCACCAGGUCGAGCAGGGAGGAAGGCACACUUGGUGGGGAGAGCCUUCUGAUUACGAAGGGGACUCUCGUCCUGACUCCUGGUUACAAGGAGACGAGGAGAGGGGUACGAAGGAUUGCGCAACAAUGCGCUGCCACCUGCACUCGUUUCGUCACACAGCUUCAACUGGCUCGACGGUGGUUGGCCGGCUCGCAUUACUUUCGCCAAUUAAGCCUGCGGACGGUCGUUGUUGUUCAACUUGAAUAUGAAAUUCCACGAUUAUGCCGAAUUCCAGUACAAUGAAUGCAUCGACCGCCGGUGACCAUCCUGAGGAAAUUUGAUUAGGACCUGGCACACUCCCCUGGCGCAUCGACUACAAAGAUGAACUCCAAGGAACGUCACCUAAUUUUUAAGAAAUUUCGAAUUAACACGUUUAAGAAUAUUAGAUACCUUGCUCCUUUUAUUAACUGAUCCUCAUACCUGGAGACUGAUGUUGUUUAUGUAUUAUUCGUUAUACGUUAUAAGUACACUGCAGGCUUUUAUGCAUUUAUAAGAAAUUUGAAUGUGCGAGAAAGUACAAAAUGCACACGGUAUACGAUAAUAUAAAGAAAUAUUGAAUUUAUGCAUUUAUAAGGAAUUUGUAUGCGCGAGAAAGUACAAAAUGCACACGGUAUACGAUAAUAUAAAGAAAUAUUAAAAUAGAUUUAUUUUGAUAAACUAAAUCUGAAAGAUAACGCAUCUCAUCUAGUAUUCGAAGAGGGUGUUAAAGUAGCAAAUCGAUUCGUCGCGGAAAAACUAGGAAGGCAUGGAUAUAAAUUUGAAAUAUCGAAUCAGUCUCGAUUGCCUUAACCUUGUUACGUUAUUUCAUGCGUCUAUUCCCAUACUCGUUGUUGAUCGAAGUAUGACGUCAAUUAUACGAAUUAAAUACACUGGUAAGGAUAUUUUCGCUAUGCGACCUUCUCGAUGAAGAUAGUAACGUCUGAUUUCCAGGCUUAGUUGAUAGCGAUAAGGCGCAUUCAAAUAUGCAGCACGAAGGGACAGAGAAAGAAUUGUUGACAAAUAUCGAUUGCCCUCUCAAAUUGAUACUGAAUUACAUUCGAAAUGCAGUAAACUUGGAAAAUACCAGUAAGCAAAAACCGAAUUUUCGAUUAUUUCUAAAAUGUAAAGAAGUAGAUAUUUUCAGCCGAAUUCGAUUUAUGUGACGAGAUUAGUUGUCAAUUAAGAAAAGUUUCCUUCUUCGAGCCUCGCACAUCUGGUCUCGACAUCUUUGAUGCCGAUUUAACAUAUUUAAUAGUCAUACAUCAACGGGACUCAAAUGGCCAAAUGAUAAAUUUCACACCACUCCUUACUGGAAAAACGGCGAAAAGAUGCACCGACAUACUAUUAAAGAAUCAUACGUCGCAUAGAAAAGGUUCAUCUGUGAAAUCCACAUUGAAAAUAAAACCAUAAUACAAAUAGAUUGUUACAAUAAUGGUUAUGGGAAAUUGAUAAAUAACUGAUAAUGUAUUGAUAAUAAUUGUAUUUCAAACUUCUUUAUACAAAUUUCUAUGUACAUUUUUGUGUGUAUUUGUCUCUUCUGAGAAGGUCAGUC